rnacentral:misc_RNA from 1 species
AGUCGUAACAAGGUAGCCGUACCGGAAGGUGCGGCUGGAUCACCUCCUUUCUAAGGAGCUGCUAGCAACUGGUUGCUGUGCCUGUAUGGGUGUGGUGGUGGUUGUCAGUGUUGCCCAUUGCGCAGGCGUCUGUUCUGCGGUGGGUGCUCAUGGGUGGAAUAUCAACGAAUCAUUUUUUUGGCAUGGUCUUCUGUGCUGUGUCCUGGUGUGAGUACGGCAACGUGCGUCUUCCUUUGUGGGGGGUGUGGUGUUGUUGGGAAAGCGUUCCGGGGUGUGGUGUGUGGGGGUUGUGUUUGGCGCACUGUUGGGGUUCUGAGGCAACAGGACCUUGUGCAGCAAUGCAUGGGACGGUUGUUUCUGUGUUUCCUGCUUCUGGUUCUGUUCUUGCACGUGUGUGUGGGGGUGGUCUGGUUGAUGGGGUUGUUGUUUGAGAACUACAUAGUGGACGCGAGCAUCUAAGAACACACAUGCCUGUGGUGUGGGUGUUCUUAUACAGCAAUUUCUUAUGAAUGAACCCUGGGCCCAAGUGGCUCGUGGUUCUCUCGAGUAUGUUUUUGAUCUUUGUGUGGUCAAGUUUUUAAGGGCACACGGUGGAUGCCUUGGCAC